rnacentral:tRNA from 1 species
GGGGACGUAGCUCAUCUGGUAGAGCGCAGCAUUCGCAUUGCUGAGGUGGUCGGUUCGAGUCCGAUCGUCUCCACCA